rnacentral:rRNA from 1 species
UACGAAGGGGGCUAGCGUUGCUCGGAAUCACUGGGCGUAAAGGGUGCGUAGGCGGGUUUUAAGUCAGGGGUGAAAUCCUGGAGCUCAACUCCAGAACUGCCUUUGAUACUGGAGAUCUUGAGUCCGGGAGAGGUGAGUGGAACUGCGAGUGUAGAGGUGAAAUUCGUAGAUAUUCGCAAGAACACCAGUGGCGAAGGCGGCUCACUGGCCCGGUACUGACGCUGAGGUGCGAAAGCGUGGGGAGCAAACAGG